UUUCCGUAGGUGAACCUGCGGAAGGAUCAUUAUUGUAUAACCGAGGUGCGAGGGCUGUCGCUGACCCGAAAGGUCGUGCACGCCUGAGUACCCUCACACACAUCCAUCUCACCCCUAUGUGCACCACCGCGUGGGUCCCCCUUUGGCUUGUUCGGAGGGGGGCUUACGUUUUCACACAAACUUUGUAUGCAGUGUAGAAUGUAUUUUUUGUGUUUGCGCUCACGCAAUCAAUACAACUUUCAACAACGGAUCUCUUGGCUCUC
rnacentral:misc_RNA from 1 species